rnacentral:lncRNA from 1 species
GAAUAAGUUCUGGUCUAUUUUUAGCGAGGAGUUAAACUGAUAGAAUUAGCUAUCAGACAUAUGUGCUAAUGUUGUGGAUACAUUAUUUGAUCAGUGAACAAGAAGGACGUGCACGGGUCCUAGAUGACUACAUAUCAUUUGUUGGUCUACUUGCUGACCCGUUAUUGUGGUAUUGACCUAUCUUUUGUUUUGAAAUUUUUACUUGCUUAUGUGUGCCUUGGAUUCUACAACCUGUUCUAUGGAUCCUGCUACUUAGAUAUGAGCUUGUAAGCAAGGGUGAACGAAACCUAUCAUCUAAUGGAAACUAUCAUGUAUUUUAAAUGCAUUUUUAUGUAAAAUUAUAUAACAAGUGCCAAAAGGUAAAUAAUAACAUUAUUAGCAGAACUACAAUUCUUGCAAUUACCUUUGUCUUCUAAAAAAUGCAAUUAGCUUGAAACUAAUGAGUUCCAUCAACUGGAGCUUGUACUCAAGUUAUUUGGCAUCCCUUAAUACUUUGUUAUGUGGCUUUUAUUGCUUAUUAAUUUUUUUUGGUGGAUUCAGUGAUCUUUGGACUCUUCCAUUCCAUCUUUUUGCAGUUUUGAACAUUUUACUCUCUCUGAUCCUCGUUCAAAUUGCUGUCACCUACGAGCUUUAUGAUCUUUAAUGGUGAACUCUUCAUUACUCCACAGAGGGACAUACAAGGGUAUCAAUAUUUUGUAUUAGUGCUACACUUGAACUUUAUCUUUUCCUUACUCUAACAUACAUCUUUUUCAGCAAAUCUAUUGUUGCAUCCUAGUGAGACUAUUGGAUUGUUAACUCAUUUUCUUUGUAUUUUAUAUUCCCUUAUUGUUUUAACAUUAUCCUAUUUUUCCUUAGUUCCUUAAAUCGCUGAACAAAUUAAGCAGCACCUUGAAUUCAAUUGGAUGCAACAUUAUGCUAAUAAGGAGUUGUUUUCUCUAAC